rnacentral:rRNA from 1 species
ACUGGGACUGAGAUACGGCCCAGACUCCUACGGGAGGCAGCAGUGGGGAAUAUUGCACAAUGGGCGCAAGCCUGAUGCAGCGACGCCGCGUGGGGGAUGACGGCCUUCGGGUUGUAAACCUCUUUCACCAUCGGCGAAGCCUUCAGCUUUUGUUGGGGGUGACGGUAGGUGGAGAAGAAGCACCGGCCAACUACGUGCCAGCAGCCGCGGUAAUACGUAGGGUGCGAGCGUUGUCCGGAAUUACUGGGCGUAAAGAGCUCGUAGGUGGUUUGUCGCGUUGUUCGUGAAAUUCCCUGGCUUAACUGGGGGCGUGCGGGCGAUACGGGCAGACUGGAGUACUGCAGGGGAGACUGGAAUUCCUGGUGUAGCGGUGGAAUGCGCAGAUAUCAGGAGGAACACCGGUGGCGAAGGCGGGUCUCUGGGCAGUAACUGACGCUGAGGAGCGAAAGCGUGGGGAGCGAACAGGAUUAGAUACCCUGGUAGUCCACGCCGUAAACGGUGGGUACUAGGUGUGGGUUUCCUUCCUUGGGAUCCGUGCCGUAGCUAACGCAUUAAGUACCCCGCCUGGGGAGUACGGCCGCAAGGCUAAAACUCAAAGGAAUGACG